UAGGUAAAAACUCGUUGGUUAGAGUGAUUAGCUGUUAACUAAUAAGUUAUGGGAUCGAGGCCCAUUUACCUAG
rnacentral:tRNA from 1 species